rnacentral:rRNA from 1 species
GGAUUAGAUACCCUGGUAGUCUUAGCUGUAAACGAUGGAUACUAGGCGUUGCUUGUAUCGACCCGAGCAGUGCCGUAGCCAACGCGUUAAGUAUCCCGCCUGGGGAGUACGCACGCAAGUGUGAAACUCAAAGGAAUUGACGGGGGCCCGCACAAGCGGUGGAGUAUGUGGUUUAAUUCGAUGCAACGCGAAGAACCUUACCAGGGCUUGACAUCCCACGAAUUUUGGGGAAACUCAGAAGUGCCUUCGGGAACGUGGAGACAGGUGGUGCAUGGCUGUCGUCAGCUCGUGCCG